UACAUAGGGGGCAAGCGUUAUCCGGAAUUAUUGGGCGUAAAGGGUGCGUAGGUGGCCGCUUAAGUCUUUGGUGUAAGUUCAGCGCUCAACGCUGUGAUGCUAAAGAAACUGGGAGGCUUGAGUGUGGUAGAGGCAAGUGGAAUUCCAUGUGUAGCGGUAAAAUGCGUAAAUAUAUGGAGGAACACCGGUGGCGAAGGCGGCUUGCUGGGCCACAACUGACACUGAGGCACGAAAGCGUGGGGAGCAAACAGGAUUAGAUACCCUGGUAGUCCACGCCGUAAACGAUGAGUACUAAGUGUAGGGGAAACUCUGUGCUGUAGUUAACGCAAUAAGUACUCCGCCUGAGUAGUACGUACGCAAGUAUGAA
rnacentral:rRNA from 1 species